GGGCGAUUAGCUCAGCUGGUUAGAGCGUGUCAUUGACGUUGACAAGGUCACAGAUUCGAAUUCUGUAUCGCCCA
rnacentral:tRNA from 1 species